GGAGGGUUACUCUAAUUGGUAAGAGAUCAGUCUUGAAAACUGACGUAGGGUAAAACCGAUGGGGGUUCGAGUCCCUCACCCUCCGCCA
rnacentral:tRNA from 11 species